rnacentral:rRNA from 1 species
UACGUAUGGUGCAAGCGUUAUCCGGAUUUACUGGGUGUAAAGGGAGCGCAGGCGGUACGGCAAGUCUGAUGUGAAAGCCCGGGGCUCAACCCCGGUACUGCAUUGGAAACUGUCGGGCUAGAGUGUCGGAGGGGUAAGUGGAAUUCCUAGUGUAGCGGUGAAAUGCGUAGAUAUUAGGAGGAACACCAGUGGCGAAGGCGGCUUACUGGACGAUUACUGACGCUGAGGCUCGAAAGCGUGGGGAGCAAACAGG